rnacentral:rRNA from 1 species
GAUGAACGCUGGCGGCGUGCCUAAUGCAUGCAAGUCGAGCGAGCAGACGAGGAGCUUGCUCCUCUGACGUUAGCGGCGGACGGGUGAGUAACACGUGGAUAACCUACCUAUAAGACUGGGAUAACUUCGGGAAACCGGAGCUAAUACCGGAUAAUAUAUUGAACCGCAUGGUUCAAUAGUGAAAGACGGUUUUGCUGUCACUUAUAGAUGGAUCCGCGCCGCAUUAGCUAGUUGGUAAGGUAACGGCUUACCAAGGCGACGAUGCGUAGCCGACCUGAGAGGGUGAUCGGCCACACUGGAACUGAGACACGGUCCAGACUCCUACGGGAGGCAGCAGUAGGGAAUCUUCCGCAAUGGGCGAAAGCCUGACGGAGCAACGCCGCGUGAGUGAUGAAGGUCUUCGGAUCGUAAAACUCUGUUAUUAGGGAAGAACAAAUGUGUAAGUAACUAUGCACGUCUUGACGGUACCUAAUCAGAAAGCCACGGCUAACUACGUG